AGAAAUUGUACUCGUUGUGAAGAUGCAGUGUACCCGAGGCAAGACGGAAAGACUCCGUUAACCUUUGCUAUUGCUAGACACUGAACACUGGUCCUGGAUGUGUAGGAUAGGUGGGUGGCUUUGAACCGUCGACCCAAGUCUGCAUGCAGCCACACUUGAAAUGCCACCCGUUAAUGGCGGGGGUUCUAACGUAGACCCAUGACCCGGGUUGCGGACAGUGUCUGGUGGCUAGUUUGACUGGGGCGGUCU
rnacentral:rRNA from 1 species